UACACACCGCCCGUCACACUACGAAAGCCGGUUGUACCAGAAGUCGCUGAGCUAACCCGCAAGGGAGGCAGGCGCCGAAGGUAUGGUCGGUGAUUGGGGUG
rnacentral:rRNA from 1 species